rnacentral:rRNA from 1 species
GAUGAACGCUGGCGGCGUGCCUAAUACAUGCAAGUCGAGCGAACGGGCGAGAAGCUUGCUUCUCUGAUGUUAGCGGCGGACGGGUGAGUAACACGUGGAUAACCUACCUAUAAGACUGGGAUAACUUCGGGAAACCGGAGCUAAUACCGGAUGAUAUUUUGAACCGCAUGGUUCAAAAGUGAAAGACGGUCUUGCUGUCACUUAUAGAUGGAUCCGCGCUGCAUUAGCUAGUUGGUAAGGUAACGGCUUACCAAGGCAACGAUGCAUAGCCGACCUGAGAGGGGGAUAGGCCACACGGGAACUGAGACGCGGUCCAGACGACUACGGGAGGCAGCAGUAGGGAAUCUUCCGCAAUGGGCGAAAGCCUGACGGAGCAACGCCGCGUGAGUGAUGAAGGUCUUCGGAUCGUAAAACUCUGUUAUUAGGGAAGAACAUAUGUGUAAGUAACUGUGCACAUCUUGACGGUACCUAAUCAGAAAGCCACGGCUAACUACGUG